GAUGAACGCUGGCGGCGUGCCUAACACAUGCAAGCCGAGCGAUUUACUUCGGUAAAGAGCGGCGGACGGGUGAGUAACGCGUGGGUAACCUGCCCUGUACACACGGAUAACAUACCGAAAGGUAUGCUAAUACGAGAUAAUAUGCUUUUAUCGCAUGGUAGAAGUAUCAAAGCUUUUGCGGUACAGGAUGGACCCGCGUCUGAUUAGCUAGUUGGUAAGGUAACGGCUUACCAAGGCGACGAUCAGUAGCCGACCUGAGAGGGUGAUCGGCCACAUUGGAACUGAGACACGGUCCAAACUCCUACGGGAGGCAGCAGUGGGGAAUAUUGCACAAUGGGCGAAAGCCUGAUGCAGCAACGCCGCGUGAGCGAUGAAGGCCUUCGGGUCGUAAAGCUCUGUCCUCAAGGAAGAUAAUGACGGUAACCGGAGAAGAAGCCCCGGCUAACUUCGUGCCAGCCGCCGCGGUAAAAC
rnacentral:rRNA from 1 species